AUUAAUAAAUGUUAAAACAAGAAUGUGUCCUCAGUACACGAAUGCCCCACUCGCACUAUCAUUUUCUAUGUUCAGUGGACCGUGAAAUUGGGGUAAAAUCUCUAAUUUGGCAUUGAAAUUAGAAAGAUCAUAUCAUAGGGAACAUGUGUACCAAGUUUGAAGUCGAUUGGACUUCAACUUCAUCAAAAACUACCUCGACCAAAAACUUUAACCUGAAGCGGGACAGACGGACGGACGGACGGACGAACGAACAGACGGACGGACGGACGGACGAACAGACGGACGGACGGACGCACAGACCAGAAAACAUAAUGCCCCUCUACUAUCAUAG
rnacentral:lncRNA from 1 species